GAUGAACGCUGGCGGCGUGCCUAAUACAUGCAAGUCGAGCGAACAGGCCCUGAGCUUGCUCCUUUCACGUUUGCGGAGGACGGGUGAGUCACGCGUGGAUAACCUACCUAUAAUACUGGUAUCAUCUCGGGAAACCGGCUAUUAUCCCGUAUGAGCUUUUGCACCACAUUGUUGGAUAGUGAAAUUUGGCUUUUGUAGCACUUAUAGCUGGUCCUGCGCCGUAUUAGGUAGUUGGUAAGGUCAAGGCUUACCAAGGCAACCAUACGUAGCCGACCUGAGAGGGUGAUCGGCGACACUGGAACGGAGACACGGUCCAGACGCCUACGGGAGGCAGCAGUAGGGAAUCGUCCGCAAUGGGGGAAAGCAUGACGGAGCAACGCCGCGUGAGUGAUGAAGGUCUUCGGAUCGUAAAACUCUGUUAUUAGGGAAGAAUAAACGUGUAAGUAACUGUGCACGUCUUGACGGUACCUAAUCAGAAAGCCACGGCUAACUACGUG
rnacentral:rRNA from 1 species